UACGUAGGGGGCUAGCGUUGUCCGGAAUCAUUGGGCGUAAAGCGCGUGUAGGCGGUCCGGUAAGUCCGCUGUGAAAGUCGGGGGCUCAACCCUCGAAUGCCGGUGGAUACUGUCGGGCUCGAGUGCGGGAGAGGCGAGUGGAAUUCCUGGUGUAGCGGUGAAAUGCGCAGAUAUCAGGAGGAACACCGAUUGCGAAGGCAGCUCGCUGGAACGUUACUGACACUCAGGGACGAAAGCUAGGGGAGCGAAUGGG
rnacentral:rRNA from 1 species